rnacentral:rRNA from 1 species
UACGUAGGUGGCAAGCGUUGUCCGGAUUUAUUGGGUUUAAAGGGCGCGUAGGCGGGCGGGCAAGUCAGGGGUGAAAUCCCACGGCUCAACCGUGGAAGUGCCUUUGAUACUGCUUGUCUUGAGGGAGGUAGGGGCGUGCGGAACUUCCGGUGGAGCGGUGAAAUGCGUAGAUAUCGGAAGGAACACCGGUGGCGAAAGCGGCGCGCUGGACCUCUACUGACGCUGAGGCGCGAAAGCCAGGGGAGCAAACGGG